CUCGGCGAAGUAGGGUCCCCAGCGGUCCCCAAAGGCAUUCUGCAAAGCCAGGUCCGACACAGUCCUAGGGCACUGGCCGUACAGGUCCCUCCGGGACCCAUGCCCCAUGCUCUCCUGGAAGCUCCGCUGGCGCAUAAAUUGGUCAUAGUCCUCCCUGGCUCUCAGAGGGGGCCUAUCUUUUAACCGGGAGAUGGCCUCGCGUUCGCUGGCCAGGUGGAGGGCGUUGUCGGAGCGAGAGCGUCGGGAACGCCUGGACCUGUGAGGUCGGAAACGGCGGUUGUCGUCGCGUGAAGUAGCUCUUCUCCGGGUGCGUUCACUCAUGGGCUGGAUCCUCACGCCCUCCUGCCCUGGCAGCUUGCUGCCCGCCAUCCCUCCAUCAAAAUCAAAG
rnacentral:lncRNA from 1 species